rnacentral:rRNA from 1 species
UACGGGGGGAGCAAGCGUUGUUCGGAUUUACUGGGCGUAAAGGGCGCGUAGGCGGCCACCGCAAGUCAGUUGUGAAAGCUCUGGGCUUAACCCAGAAAGGUCAACUGAUACUGCGGGGCUAGAGUGCAGAAGGGGCAACUGGAAUUCUCGGUGUAGCGGUGAAAUGCGUAGAUAUCGAGAGGAACACCUGCGGCGAAGGCGGGUUGCUGGGCUGACACUGACGCUGACAGCGCGAAAGCUAGGGGAGCGAACGGG